UGGGGAAUUUUGGACAAUGGGCGAAAGCCUGAUCCAGCAAUGCCGCGUGUGUGAAGAAGGCCUUCGGGUUGUAAAGCACUUUUGUCCGGAAAGAAAUGGCUCUGGUUAAUACCUGGGGUCGAUGACGGUACCGGAAGAAUAAGGACCGGCUAACUACGUGCCAGCAGCCGCGGUAAUACGUAGGGUCCAAGCGUUAAUCGGAAUUACUGGGCGUAAAGCGUGCGCAGGCGGUUGUGCAAGACCGAUGUGAAAUCCCCGAGCUUAACUUGGGAAUUGCAUUGGU
rnacentral:rRNA from 1 species